rnacentral:rRNA from 1 species
GACGAACGCUGGCGGCGUGGAUUAGGCAUGCAAGUCGAACGGUAUCAUCCUUUCGGGGGUGAGAGAGUGGCGAACUGGUGAGUAACACGUAGGUUAUCUACCCUCAAGACGGGGACAACCCAGGGAAACUUGGGCUAAUACCGGAUGUGAGCAACUUUUAGUUGUUUGAAAGGUGGCGUAAGCUGUCGCUUGGGGAUGAGCCUGCGUCCUAUUAGUUAGUUGGUGAGGUAACGGCUCACCUAGGCAAUGAUAGGUAGGCGGCCUUAACGGGUGGUCGCCCACACUGGGAUUGGAGAUACGGCCCAGACUCCUACGGGAGGCAGCAGUCGAGAAUAGUCUACAAUGGUCGGAAGACUGAUAGUGCGACGCCGCGUGAACGAUGAAUCCCUUCGGGGUGUAAAGUUCUUUUAUAUGUGAGCAGUGCUUCUUAUAUUAACAGUAUGGGGAGAGAGAUAUUAGCAUAUGAAUAAGCAACGGCUAACUCCGUGCCAGCAGCCGCGGUAAG